rnacentral:rRNA from 1 species
AGAGAUGAAAGAGCUUGCUCUUUUAUUAAUUUCAGUGGCAAACGGGUGAGUAACACGUAAACAACCUGCCUUAAGGAUGGGGAUAACAGACGGAAACGACUGCUAAUACCGAAUACGUUCUAAGCAUCGCAUGGUGCAUAGAAGAAAGGGUGGCCUCUACAAGAAAGCUAUCGCCUUAAGAGGGGUUUGCGACUGAUUAGGUAGUUGGUGAGGUAACGGCUCACCAAGCCGACGAUCAGUAGCCGGUCUGAGAGGAUGAACGGCCACACUGGAACUGAGACACGGUCCAGACUCCUACGGGAGGCAGCAGUGGGGAAUCUUCCGCAAUGAACGAAAGUCUGACGGAGCAACGCCGCGUGAACGAAGAAGGUCUUCGGAUUGUAAAGUUCUGUGAUUCGGGACGAAAGGGUUUGUGGUGAAUAAUCAUAGACAUUGACGGUACCGAAAAAGCAAGCCACGGCUAACUACGUGCCAGCAGCCGCGGUAAUACGUAGGCGGCAAGCGUUGUCCGGAAUUAUUGGGCGUAAAGCGCGCGCAGGCGGUUUCUUAAGUCCAUCUUAAAAGCGUGGGGCUCAACCCCAUGAGGGGAUGGAAACUGGGAAGCUG